UACGAGGGGCCCAAGCGUUAGGCGGAAUCACUGGGCUUAAAGCGUGCGCAGGCGGAUUGCCAAGCGUCUUGUGAAAACCCCCGGCUCAACCGGGGAAUUGCAGGGCGAACUGGCAGUCUUGAGGCAGGUAGGGGUCAACGGAACUGUCGGUGGAGCGGUGAAAUGUGUAGAUAUCGACAGGAACGCCAGUGGCGAAGGCGGUUGACUGGGCCUGUCCUGACGCUCAGGCACGAAAGCGUGGGGAGCAAACAGG
rnacentral:misc_RNA from 1 species